UGGGGAAUUUUGGACAAUGGGCGAAAGCCUGAUCCAGCCAUGCCGCGUGAGUGAAGAAGGCCUUCGGGUUGUAAAGCUCUUUCAGCCGGGAAAAAAUCGCAUGGGCUAAUACCCUGUGUGGAUGAUGGUACCGGAAUAAGAAGCACCGGCUAACUACGUGCCAGCAGCCGCGGUAAUACGUAGGGUGCGAGCGUUAAUCGGAAUUACUGGGCGUAAAGCGUGCGCAGGCGGUUUAGUAAGACAGGCGUGAAAUCCCCGGGCUUAACCUGGGAACUGCGCUUGUGACUGCUAAGCUAGAGUACGGCAGAGGGGGGUGGAAUUCCACGUGUAGCAGUGAAAUGCGUAGAGAUGUGGAGGAACACCGAUGGCGAAGGCAGCCCCCUGGGCCGAUACUGACGCUCAUGCACGAAAGCGUGGGGAGCAAACA
rnacentral:rRNA from 1 species